rnacentral:rRNA from 1 species
GACGAACGCUGGCGGCGUGCUUAACACAUGCAAGUCGAACGGAAAGGCCCUGCUUUUGUGGGGUGCUCGAGUGGCGAACGGGUGAGUAACACGUGAGUAACCUGCCCUUGACUUUGGGAUAACUUCAGGAAACUGGGGCUAUUACCGGAUAGGAGCUCCUGCUGCAUGGUGGGGGUUGGAAAGUUUCGGCGGUUGGGGAUGGAAUCGCGGCUUAUCAGCUUGUUGGUGGGGUAGUGGCUUACAAAGGCUUUGAAGGGUAGCCGGCCUGAGAGGGGGACCGGCCACCAUGGGACUGAGAUACGGCCCAGACUGCUACCGGAGGCAGCAGUGGGGAAUAUUGCACAAUGGGCGGAAGCCUGAUGCAGCAACGCCGCGUGCGGGAUGACGGCCUUCGGGGUAUAAACCGCUUUCGCCUGUGACGAAGCGUGAGUGACGGUAAUGGGUAAAGAAGCACCGGCUAACUACGUG